rnacentral:lncRNA from 1 species
UUGUAGCAUGUUUGACCAAGCUUAUUUCUGGCCAAAAGUGUUUUUUUUUUUCCAAAAACACUUUUGGCCAAAAAUUAAGGUGUUUGGCCAAGCUUUUGGAAGGAAAAAAGUGCUUUUGAGGAGAAGCAGAAACAGUUUUGGAGAAGCAGAAAAAAGUAGCUUCUUUCCAAAAGCACUUUUUUGAGAAAAAUACACUUAAAAGCAGUUUUUUAAAACUUGGCCAAACACUAAUUGCUGCUCAGAAGUGCUUUUCAAACUAAUUAGUCAAACACAAACUGGUGAGAAAGCACUUUUGAAAAAAAAUACUUUUCAAAAUAAGCUGAUUUUUGCAGCUUGACCAAACGGGCUAUUAGUCCAUACUGAUGAAAUAUGGAAUUGCUUUCCAAUUUCUCCUUUGUUCUUCCAGUUUUGACUUGGUCUGUGCUACAUUUCUGAGUUCUGUUGAAUUUUUCUUCACUGUCGCUUGCUUUGCCUGUUGUAUCCAUUUGUUAUUUGUUGCACCUCUUUGUUGGUAAUGGGUAUUUUGUGGAUAUCUCUUAUUUAUUGUUCUUUUGGAAUAUUUUUUCCACUGUGUACAUCUGCUUUUGACAUGCAUGUUUGGUUUCUUCAUGUAUAGGUUUAAACACGAUUUGGGCACAUUGAAUUAACAUCUGGAGCGAAAAUGACAUAAAAACAGACAAGAGCAUUGUUGCAGCCAAGGUAUUUGACCAUAUGCCGUAAAAAACUAUAUCUCGGCAUUAAAGGCUGAAAUGUUUGAAAUUGGGCUUCAAUAAUUGAGUUGGAGAUUUUGUUAACUGAUGGUUCUAAUGGCUAAUUGGCAAUUUUCUUAAUAUUUAUAUGGCCAAUUAAUACCCCUCAUUUUUUGAAUUUAUUUAUAGAUUAUGUAACUUUGAUGCAGGACCUCAAUCUAUUAUAUUAUAACUGCAGAUAGCAGAAAAAAGCAAGCACCUUAUGCUGGAGCUUUCUUUGGAAGAUGAACAACGCUAAUCGUAAUGUUUUGUCUGCUCAGAUACAAAGAAGACGUGUAUGAGCUCAAAGGAAAAACUUUAGUUAACGUUCUUCACGAAAUUGUGCGUGUUUGUUCAGAUUUGUUAUUACUGCUUUUCUUAUUAUGUUUCUUUACGCAACCCCAAGGAAUUGUUGGGGUUACUUUGGUGAGUAAUGAGAUUGCUCUAUUUUAAGAAAUUUUUAGGUUUGAGGAAUUUAUUAUUGAUGAACUACAAUUAAAGAAAAAUCGGAUGAGUGGGGUAAGACCAAAUGUGUAAGAAAUGAAAUGGAUUUUGAGUUGCACCACGCGUAAUUUAAAGUGUAAUAUGACUAGGUUGAUAUUUUGGGAAGUGUAACUCUUUAAAAUUAUAGUAAUGUGUAACUUAGUUGCAAGUAUUUUAUUUAAAGAUUUCGGAGGUUAAUUUGAUAAGUUUAUUGUCUUCACCUUUUUCAUGAAGUUUAUUUACUUAUUUAUCUUUUACUUGAUUGAAAAAUCUUUGAGAU